rnacentral:rRNA from 1 species
AUUGAACGCUGGCGGAAUGCUUUACACAUGCAAGUCGAGCGGCAGCGCGGGGGCAACCCUGGCGGCGAGCGGCGAACGGGUGAGUAAUACAUCGGAACGUGUCCUUCAAGUGGGGGAUAGCUCGGCGAAAGCCGGAUUAAUACCGCAUAAGCUCUGAGGAGGAAAGCGGGGGACUGGUAACGGCCUCGCGCUGUUGGAGCGGCCGAUGUCGGAUUAGCUAGUUGGUGGGGUAAAGGCCCACCAAGGCGACGAUCCGUAGCUGGUCUGAGAGGAUGAUCAGCCACACUGGAACUGAGACACGGUCCAGACUCCUACGGGAGGCAGCAGUGGGGAAUUUUGGACAAUGGGGCAACCUGAUCCAGCCAUUCCGCGUGAGUGAAGAAGGCCU